CUACGGGGGGCUCCAGUGGGGAAUAUUGGACAAUGGGGGCAACCCUGAUCCAGCAAUGCCGCGUGUGUGAAGAAGGCCUGAGGGCUGUAAAGCACUUUUGUAGAGGAGGAUGGUGAGCAAGGUUAAGAGCUAUGUUCAUUGACGUUACUCUAAGAAUAAGCACCGGCUAACUCCGUGCCAGCAGCCGCGGUAAUACGGAGGGUGCAAGCGUUAAUCGGAAUUACUGGGCGUAAAGGGUGCGUAGGCGGUUGAGUAAGUUAUCUGUGAAAUCCCUGGGCUUAACCUGGGUGGGAAAGAUAAGACUGCUCGACUGGAGUGUGGUAGAGGAUAGUGGAAUUUCCGGUGUAGCGGUGAAAUGCGUAGAGAUCGGAAGGAACACCAGUGGCGAAGGCGGCUAUCUGGACCAACACUGACGCUGAGGCACGAAAGCGUGGGGAGCAAACAGGAUUAGAUACCCCCGUAGUC
rnacentral:rRNA from 1 species